rnacentral:lncRNA from 1 species
AUUGCAGACCCGGAGGCCGUGGCUGUGGUUCGCGGCGGUGCUGUCGCGGGCGCCCUGGCGCAGCCCACGCAGGGGCUCCUGAGGGUCCGCGAGGCCGGGAGAAAAUUCCAGGCCCAGAGGGCCAAGCUGGUGAAUCCUACUUAGAGAAGAAAUAAUAGGAAUCCAGCCACUCAGACGAUGGACGAGGAGGGGCACUUCCCUGCUCGAUGUAUGGGCCAGCAUUGCCUUGAUAGCAAAGUCAGACAUCACCAGACAGUAGAACCACAGACCAAUGUCUUUCAUGAACCAAGACACAGCAUUUAAAAAAAUUAGCAAAUGGAAUUUAUAUCUGCCUAUUGUUUACAAAAAAAGCCAAACUUUGUAAAAUACUUGAAGAGAUUUAUUCUGAGCCAAAUAUGACCCAUGACACAGCCUCAGGACGUCCUGAGAACUUGGCCCAAGGCGGUUGUUUUACUGCUUGGUUUUAUUCAUUUCAGGGAGACAUAAGACAUCAGUCAGUACAUGUGAGGUGUGCAUUGGAUUGAUCCAGAAAGUCAGGACGACUCCAAGUGGAAAGGCCUCCAGAGACAGGAGACAGUAAAAGAAAUGGCCUCUCUCCUCUGUCAGAGUGGAGUCCCGAGCUCCCAGAAAUGCCACAUGAUGGACAAACGCUUGGGGGAAAAAAAAAAAAAAGGAGACCUCAGUCGGACACAAAAGCAGGAGCUUUAAAAGAAAAAAUAAGAGAUAAGUUGAACUUCACCAAAAAAUAAGCGUUUCUGGUCUUUGAAAGACACUUAAAAUGAAAAGGCAAGCCAUCGAUGGGGAAAAUACUCAGAAUAAUGGAUCUGACAGAGGGCUGUAUCUAGAAUAUAUGAAGAUAUUUUAAAAUCCAGUAAUUUGACAUAAAGAUGGUAGCCAGCCUGACACACAAAGGAACCCGAAUGGCCAAUGGACAGGAAGGGAACCCGUAUGGCCGAUGGACAGAAAGGGAAGUGAACGUGAACAUCUCAUUGGGGAUGCCGUUAUCACCACUGGAAUAGUCAAAAACAUGGACACCAAGUAUUGGUGGGUGAGUGGAAUGGCGGGAACCCACAUACACGGUCGAUGGGAGCUGCACCCUUUGGAAAUCAUUUCACAGUUUGUGCUCCAUCCUGGCCAAACCCACAGCUGGAGUCUUUCCAAAAACAGUGACGGGAGUUUCCACCAGGGAGUGCCUCAAACCAUCCCGAGAUGGGGCUGGUUGGGAUUCCAGGGAGAGGCACUCGUUGCCAGGGUGAUCCGUCCAGAGCACUUCCUAGGGGAUCUGGCAUAAGGAGGGCUGCAGUGUAUCCUCAGGACAGAUAGGACAGAUAGUGUAUCUUUGGGACAGACGGCAAGAUGGGGAUUCCACCCAGGUCUGUCUGCAGCGAGUUGAUAUGAGAGUUUAAGGAAUUUGGACCAGGGCUGCUUUGUUUCAGGGUUUUGGGCAAUGACCUAAACACCUUUAUCAGUGCCUGGGAAUGCUCAAGGCCCAGCUUGAGUUCAGGCCUGCAGGGAAAACCUGCAACUGGCCGGGCUGCAGAGUGGUCAGGGCACGGAAAGCCAGAAGCUGGGGACACACCUGCUGUAUGAUCCAGCCGUUCGUCUUUACCUGGGAGAAAUGGCACCACCUGGCUGAACAUAACUUCUUACACUCCCAUGAGUCCUCCUGGACAGGUGCUGUGACCUCGUGCAGCCUUGGGGACCCUGACACUCCCACGGACAGGCCAAGGGGUUUGCCUGGGCC